GACAACGUGGCGCGUGCUUAAUACAUGCAAGUAGAACGCUGAAGGAGGACUUGCUUCUCUGGAUGAUGCGAACGGGUGAGUAACGCGUAGGUAACUCCUGUAGCGGGGGUACUAUUGGAAACGUACUAAUACCGCAUAGAGUAGAUGUUCAUGACAUUUGCUUAAAAGGUCAAUGCAUCAUUACCAGAUGGCUGCUUGUAUUAGCAGUUGGUGAGUAACGGCCACCAAGGCGACGAUACAUACCGACCUGAGAGGGUGCGCCACACUGGGACUGAGACACGGCCCAGACUCCUACGGGAGGCAGCAGUAGGGAAUCUCGGCAAUGACGGAAGUCUGACCGAGCAACGCCGCGUGAGUGAAGAAGGUUUUCGUCGUAAGCUCUGUUGUAAGAGAAGAACGAGUGUGAGAGUGGAAAGCACACUGUGACGUAUUUACCAGAA
rnacentral:rRNA from 1 species